rnacentral:tRNA from 3 species
GGGCCUGUAGCUCAAUUGGAAGAGCGCUUCCAUGGCAUGGAAGAGGUCGUCGGUUCGACCCCGAUCAGGUCCA